rnacentral:rRNA from 1 species
GACAGAGGGUGCAAACGUUGCUCGGAAUCACUGGGCGUAAAGGGCGUGUAGGCGGGAAGGAAAGUCAGAUGUGAAAUCUCUGGGCUCAACCCAGGAACUGCAUUUGAAACUCCCCUUUCUUGAGUACCGGAGAGGAAGGUGGAAUACCUGGUGUAGAGGUGAAAUUCGUAGAUAUCAGGUGGAACACCAGUGGCGAAGGCGGCCUUCUGGACGGUAACUGACGCUGAGACGCGAAAGCGUGGGGAGCAAACAGG